UACAGAGGUCUCAAGCGUUGUUCGGAUUCAUUGGGCGUAAAGGGUGCGUAGGCGGCGCGGUAAGUCGGGUGUGAAAUCUUGGAGCUUAACUCCGAAACUGCAUUCGAUACUGCCGUGCUUGAGGACUGGAGAGGAGACUGGAAUUUACGGUGUAGCAGUGAAAUGCGUAGAGAUCGUGAGGAAGACCAGUGGCGAAGGCGGGUCUCUGGACAGUUCCUGACGCUGAGGCGCGAAGGCCAGGGGAGCAAACGGG
rnacentral:rRNA from 1 species